rnacentral:rRNA from 1 species
AAGCGGUGGAGCAUGUGGUUUAUUCGAUGCAACGCGAAGAACCUUACCUACUCUUGACAUCCAGAGAACUUAGCAGAGAUGCUUUGGUGCCUUCGGGAACUCUGAGACAGGUGCUGCAUGGCUGUCGUCAGCUCGUGUUGUGAAAUGUUGGGUUAAGUCCCGCAACGAGCGCAACCCUUAUCCUUUGUUGCCAGCGGUUCGGCCGGGAACUCAAAGGAGACUGCCAGUGAUAAACUGGAGGAAGGUGGGGAUGACGUCAAGUCAUCAUGGCCCUUACGAGUAGGGCUACACACGUGCUACAAUGGCAUAUACAAAGAGAAGCGACCUCGCGAGAGCAAGCGGACCUCAUAAAGUAUGUCGUAGUCCGGAUUGGAGUCUGCAACUCGACUCCAUGAAGUCGGAAUCGCUAGUAAUCGUGGAUCAGAAUGCCACGGUGAAUACGUUCCCGGGCCUUGUACACACCCGCCCGUCACACCAUGGG